rnacentral:rRNA from 1 species
UACGUAGGGUGCGAGCGUUAAUCGGAAUUACUGGGCGUAAAGCGUGCGUAGGCGGUUCGUUAAGUUCGUUGUGAAAGCCCCGGGCUCAACCUGGGAAUGGCAAUGGAAACUGGCGGGCUGGGGUAUGGCAGAGGGGGGUGGAAUUCCGCGUGUAGCAGUGAAAUGCGUAGAGAUGCGGAGGAACACCGAUGGCGAAGGCAGCCCCCUGGGCCAAUACUGACGCUCAGGCACGAAAGCGUGGGGAGCAAACAGG